rnacentral:rRNA from 1 species
AGCGAACGCUGGCGGCAGGCUUAACACAUGCAAGUCGAGCGGGCACUUUCGGCUGUCAGCGGCGGACGGGUGAGUAACGCGUGGGAACGCGCCCUCUGGCUCGGAAUAACUUAGGGAAACUUGAGCUAAUACCGGAUACGCCCUUUUGGGGAAGGGCUUGCUGGCGGAGGGUCGGCCCGCGUCUGAUUUGCUAGCUGGUGAGGUAACGGCUCAGCAAGGCGAGGAUCAGUAGCUGGUCGGAGAGGAUGAUCAGUCACACUGAGACAGAGACACGGCCCAGACUCCUACGGGAAGCAGCAAUGGGGGAUAUUGGACAGUGGGCGCGAGGCUGAUACAGCCAUGGCGCGAUAGUGAUGAAGGGGUUAGAGUUGUAAAGCGCUAUUAACCGGGACGAUUGUGACGGUACCGGAGGAAUAAGCCCCGGCUAACUACGUG